rnacentral:rRNA from 1 species
GAUGAACGCUAGCGGGAGGCCUAACACAUGCAAGCCGAGCGGUAUUUGUUCUUCGGAACAGAGAGAGCGGCGUACGGGUGCGGAACACGUGUGCAACCUACCUUUAUCAGGGGGAUAGCCUUUCGAAAGGAAGAUUAAUACCCCAUAAUAUAUUGAUUGGCAUCAGUUAAUAUUGAAAACUCCGGUGGAUAGAGAUGGGCACGCGCAAGAUUAGAUAGUUGGUAGGGUAACGGCCUACCAAGUCAGUGAUCUUUAGGGGGCCUGAGAGGGUGAUCCCCCACACUGGUACUGAGACACGGACCAGACUCCUACGGGAGGCAGCAGUGAGGAAUAUUGGACAAUGGGUGAGAGCCUGAUCCAGCCAUCCCGCGUGAAGGACGACGGCCCUAUGGGUUGUAAACUUCUUUUGUAUAGGGAUAAACCUACUCUCGUGAGAGUAGCUGAAGGUACUAUACGAAUAAGCACCGGCUAACUCCGUGCCAGCAGCCGCGGUAAU